ACAAACUUAGCAAAUCUCCAAGUCCUCAAAUUGAGCUAUUUAAAUGUGGUAAGUAUAUUAUUUCUCUCAUCUGAAGGCUGAGGCAUUGUGUACAUUACCAUUCCCAGCACCUCUAUCUGCUGAGCCAUCUCUCUGGACUCAGCCUGUUACUUGUAAGGCAGAAUUCUCCUCACCCUGAGGUUCAUGUUUGUUUCCACGAGUCUGGAAGCCGCGGAGCCACAGCAACCCUCCUGCAUGUCCAUCUUCUCAGGAUGUCAUCUGGACUUAAAUGAUUCUCACUUGCAUUAACGCAGUAACUAAUUUGAUUAAAUUGUAUGCAUUAAAAAUCACCAAGGAUCCUCUCCUGAUCACUACACGAGGCUCAAAUGAGCAAAGACCAAACAGACAUUCCAGGUGCAACGCACAGGUCCACACAGGGGUUUUCAUGGGAAAACGAUGCUUACAGACCCGUCGGGCAAGUCUGAAAACCAUCAUCAUACGCAAGAUCUGCUCCAGUGGAAAGCAAAUUUUCACAACCUUGUAAAUGGCCCCAAGCGCCAGUGUGGCGAUAAACAUCAACUCAAAAAGCAACACAGAGCAAAAAACCGACUGAAGGAGUAUGAUUCUAUUAAUAGCACCAAUUAGAGAGUUUUACAUGAGAUAGGACAGGAUACUGGGUUAUUUGUUAAUUAAAUAUAUCAAUCUUUUGGUUUGAAAACUACUAAGAAUAGCCUAGAAUAACCCCUUCCAGUUCACUGACUUUCUGAAAGUCAUUGGGGGUGGUGAUAAUUUUGGACAAAUAAAACCUUCAUUGAUCCUAAAAAAUUGGACA
rnacentral:lncRNA from 1 species